GUUCUUAUCCGACAAUACAGCCACCCGCGGCGAGGCUUUGGUUUUUAACCAAUCAGCUUGCAGCAGUACUGAUCAGGCACGGAUCCCUGUACUAGCGAGCAGACCACGAGCAGUUGCGUUAUUUUUCGUUGUCUGUUCUGGCAAUCGGCCGGCGGAUGAACAUCCGCAAUCGAAUCUUGAAAUCCGUCGCGCUGAUUGGUGAUGAGUUUCAUGAGCUACUUUCAUGAGGUCUAUGAAAGUAAACCUAUGCUAUGCCCUGAACAGAUGACAUCUCGUUUGGUAGCCAAUUGCUAAAAUGCAUUUUUAUCUUACGCAAGGCAGUAUACCAUAUUUUAUACCGUGGCUCUGAUCCGAAAUCAGGGCAUUUUUGUUCGAACAAAUACCUAUAAUAACGAUGAAGAAGUGCGUGAUCCGCGGAGCAAACGACCUACGUCGGGUCGGGACUGAUAUGCGUGUGACUGUGCACAAGUUUCCGCUAAAAAAAGAAGUACAGAGAAAAGUGGAUGAGGGUGUGUGGCAUGACCAAUGAGCCAAGACCACAUGACCACUUAAACUUAACAAGAAGUGCGCACCAUGAUAAGCACAGUCAAAAACGUUUGCGUCUAAAGAACAGUGCUGUGCCGGAUCAGAAUAUUCCGUAUACGCCUUGGGUUGCUGUCGCUGCUCGGUCACCCACAGAUGAAAGUGAUCAAGAAAUGGACAUCACUCAGGUGUGGGAUCACUCGUGGAAGUUCACGGCGGAUACGGAGCCGUGCAUGCAGCUCUGGUUCGAUCCUGCUCAGGGAAGCCCCAAUGACGCCGUGGCGCGCAUCUGGGCUGAGCGGGUGGUGGCUGGCGGCCGGUGCGCGGGCGCUGCCGCGUGGCUGGUGGCCGCGGCCCUGGCGGCAGCGGCCCGCUCCUGACCCGGUCGCCCUGUGCCGAGCACAGAGCGCCGACUGAGGUCAGUCUUGUGAUCGAGCUUCCGCGCCGGAGGUGGAACAGGUGGAGCUGGCGGUCACCUGCGCGGGCUCGGCGGCCUGUAAGCCGUGCCGAGACGAACCGCGACACUCUUGCUAGAUCUGCACCCCAUUGUAAUCUUCUGUAGUCGAUAUUCGGUAGGUACUCAAUGCUCAUUUUUCUGAUAUUAGACGAGUGGCGGGUUUUGAUGUUACAUUGGAGACUGCUGUCUCGGGUGGCCCGACAGUGUUCGAUUGUGGUGUAAUGUAGAUACAUAGACGGGAUGCCGCGGCUCGGAUUCGUAGCUGGACUACCAUGUGCCUGUCGAUUGAGAUGCUUUGCCUGGCGAUUGAGAUGAUUCGGGGCGCGGCCCCACACUGACGCCAUGGUGCAAUGAGUGACUGGCGACAACUAAGCAAUUAUGUACUUUUGUA